UACAGAGACUGCAAGCGUUAUUCGGAUUCACUGGGCGUAAAGGGUGCGCAGGCGGCCGUGUGUGUCAGGUGUGAAAUCCCGGGGCUUAACCCCGGAACUGCGCCUGAAACUACGCGGCUAGAGUAUUGGAGAGGGUAGCGGAAUUCACGGUGUAGCAGUGAAAUGCGUAGAUAUCGUGAGGAACACCAGAGGCGAAGGCGGCUACCUGGACAAUUACUGACGCUCAGGCACGAAAGCGUGGGGAGCAAAAGGG
rnacentral:rRNA from 1 species